rnacentral:rRNA from 1 species
UACGUAGGUGGCAAGCGUUGUCCGGAUUUAUUGGGUUUAAAGGGUGGCGUAGGCGGCCCUGUAAGUCAGUGCUGAAAUACUCCGGCUCACCCGGAGCACUGCAUCCCAAACUGCUCGGCUUGAGUAUGGGAGAGGACGAGGGAAUUCCUGGUGUAGCGGUAGGAAUGCGCAGAUAUCAGGAGGAACACCUAUGGCGAAGGCAGCUCUCUGGUACGUGACUGACGCUGAGACGCGAAAGCGUGGGUAGCAAACAGG